rnacentral:rRNA from 1 species
UGAGGAACAUGACCUUCGGCGGGGGAUAGCCAGCCCAACGGCCGGGUAAUACCGCGUACGACCACAUGGGGACAUCCCUGAGUGGUGAAAGCAGCAAUGCGCCGAUGGAGUGCCUCGCGGCCUAUCAGCUAGUUGGUGAGGUAACGGCUCACCAAGGCGACGACGGGUAGCUGGUCUGAGAGGAUGGCCAGCCACAGUUGGGACUGAGACACGGCCCAGAUCCCGUAACGGGG